UACGAAGGGGGGCUAGCGUUGCUCGGAAUCACUGGGCUUAAAGCGUGUGUAGGCGGGUCCGUAAGUACCUUGUGAAAUCCCACGGCUCAACCGUGGAACUGCUCGGUAUACUGCGGGCCUUUGAGCCAGCUAGGGGCAACCGGAACAAACGGUGGAGCGGUGAAAUGCGUAGAUAUCGUUUGGAACGCCGAUGGUGGAAAACAGGUUGCUGGGGCUGUGGCUGACGCUGGAGACACGAAAGCCAGGGGGAGCGAACGGGG
rnacentral:rRNA from 1 species